rnacentral:rRNA from 1 species
AUUGAACGCUGGCGGCAGGCCUAACACAUGCAAGUCGAGCGGAUGAAGGGAGCUUGCUCCUGGAUUCAGCGGCGGACGGGUGAGUAAUGCCUAGGAAUCUGCCUGGUAGUGGGGGAUAACGUCCGGAGACGGGCGCUAAUACCGCAUACGUCCUGAGGGAGAAAGUGGGGGAUCUUCGGACCUCACGCUAUCAGAUGAGCCUAGGUCGGAUUAGCUAGUUGGUGGGGUAAAGGCCUACCAAGGCGACGAUCCGUAACUGGUCUGAGAGGAUGACCAGUCACACUGGAACUGAGACACGGUCCAGACUCCUACGGGAGGCAGCAGUGGGGAAUAUUUGACAAUGGGCGAAAGCCUGAUCCAGCCAUGCCGCGUGUGUGAAGAAGGUCUUCGGAUUGUAAAGCACUUUAAGUUGGGAGGAAGGGCAGUAAGUUAAUACCUUGCUGUUUUGACGUUACCAACAGAAUAAGCACCGGCUAACUUCGUG